CUACGUGCCAGCAGCCGCGGUAAUACGGAAGGUCCGGGCGUUAUCCGGAUUUAUUGGGUUUAAAGGGAGCGUAGGCUGGAGAUUAAGUGUGUUGUGAAAUGUAGACGCUCAACGUCUGACUUGCAGCGCAUACUGGUUUCCUUGAGUACGCACAACGUUGGCGGAAUUCGUCGUGUAGCGGUGAAAUGCUUAGAUAUGACGAAGAACUCCGAUUGCGAAGGCAGCUGACGGGAGCGCAACUGACGCUGAAGCUCGAAGGUGCGGGUAUCGAACAGGAUUAGAUACCCUGGUAGUCCGCACAGUAAACGAUGGAUGCCCGCUGUUGGUACGUGGUAUCAGCGGCUAAGCGAAAGCAUUAAGCAUCCCACCUGGGGAGUACGCCGGCAACGGUGAAACUCAAAGGAAUUGACGGGGGCCCGCACAAGCGGAGGAACAUGUGGUUUAAUUCGAUGAUACGCGAGGAACCUUACCCGGGCUUGACAUCCCUCUGACCGCUCUAGAGAUAGAGUUUUC
rnacentral:rRNA from 1 species